UAGCUCAAUUGGCAGAGCAACUGAUUUGUAAUCAGUAGGUUGCUGGUUCGAUUCCGGCAG
rnacentral:tRNA from 1 species